rnacentral:rRNA from 1 species
GACGAACGCUGGCGGCGUGCUUAACACAUGCAAGUCGAACGAUGAAGAAGAGAAACGCGAACUUCGGUUCAAAUUUCACUUCGGAUUAGUGGCAGACGGGUGAGUAACGCGUUAUCAACCUACCUCUUACAAAGGGAUAGCCUCUGGAAACCGUGAUUACUACCAUGUGACACAUUCAUAACGCAUCUUAAGACUGUUAAAGCUACGGCGGUAAGGGAUGGGCUCGCGUCCCAUUAGCUAGUUGGUGAGGUAACGGCCCACCAAGGCGACGAUGGGUAAACGGCCUGAGAGGGUGAACCGUGACAUUGGAAGUGAGACACGGUGCAAACUACUACGGGAGGCAGCAGUGGGGAAUAUAGCCAAAUGGAGGGAACUAAGAUGCAGCGACGCCGCGUGAGCGAUGAAGGAAUUAGUUACGUAAAGCACUGUUAUAUGGGAAGAAAAGGACUGUACCAAAGGAGAAAGCCCCGGCUAACUACGUG